GACGAACGCUGGCGGCGUGCCUAAUACAUGCAAGUAGAACGCACAGUUUAUACCGUAGCUUGCUACACCAUAGACUGUGAGUUGCGAACGGGUGAGUAACGCGUAGGUAACCUGCCUGGUAGCGGGAGCUAACUAUUGGAAACGAUAGCUAAUACCGCAUAAUAUUGAUUAUUGCAUGGUAAUUGAUUGAAAGAUGCUAUUGCAUCGCUACCAGAUGGGCCUGCGUUGUAUUAGCUAGUAGGUGAGGUAACGGCUCACCUAGGCGACGAUACAUAGCCGACCUGAGAGGGUGAUCGGCCGCACUGGGACGGAGACACGGCCCAGACUCCUACGGGAGGCAGCAGUAGGGAAUCUUCGGCAAUGGACGAGAGUCUGACCGAGCAACGCCGGGCGAGUGAAGAAGGGUUUCGGAUCGGAAAGCUCCGUUGUAAGAGAAGAACGGGUGUGAGAGUGGAAAGUUCACACUGUGACGGUAGCUGAACAGAAAGGGACGGCUAACUACGUG
rnacentral:rRNA from 1 species